rnacentral:rRNA from 1 species
CUGGAUGCGUACGCGGUCCCCGUAUCUCUGCACGUCGGACCGUAUAUUGGGGGCAACCCUGGCGGCGAGUGGCGAACGGGUGAGUAAUACCUCGGAACGUGUCCUGGAGUGGGGGAUAGCCCGGCGAAAGCCGGAUUAAUACCGCAUACGAUCUGAGGAUGAAAGCGGGGGACCGCAAGGCCUCGCGCUCAAGGAGCGGCCGAUGGCGGAUUAGCUAGUUGGUGGGGUAAAGGCCCACCAAGGCGACGAUCCGUAGCUGGUCUGAGAGGACGACCAGCCACACUGGGACUGAGACACGGCCCAGACUCCUACGGGAGGCAGCAGUGGGGAAUUUUGGACAAUGGGGGCAACCCUGAUCCAGCAAUGCCGCGUGUGUGAAGAAGGCCUUCGGGUUGUAAAGCACUUUUGUCCGGAAAGAAAACUUCGUCCCUAAUAUGGAUGGAGGAUGACGGUACCGGAAGAAUAAGCACCGUCUAACUACGUGCCAGCAGCCGCGGUAAUACGUAGGGUGCGAGCGUUAAUCGGAAUUACUGGGCGUAAAGCGUGCGCAGGCGGUGAUGUAAGACCGAUGUGAAAUCCCCGGGCUUAACCUGGGAACUGCAUUGGCGACUGCAUUGCUGGAGUAUGGCAGAGGGGGGUGGAAUUCCACGUGUAGCAGUGAAAUGCGUAUAGAUGUG